AUGCUGGAUCUAUAACAAAUGCCUAGACAAAUGAGUGGAAGAACAAUAUGAGGAAAACUUCUGAUAGUAUAUAAGUAGCAAAUUGAUUAAUUAAAAAGCAAUGCUACUUCUAAUGUGGAUAGGAUGAAAGAGAACCAAAUUGCUAGUUUCCAGGAAGAAUGAUAUGCAAGUGUUGGGUAAAUAGGCAAUAUGGAGAGGGUGAGAGGCACAGAGAGAAGAAGAAUAGAAACAGAAUCACAAUGUAACCAUAACAUUAAACAGGACACACAGAUUGGUUUAAGAAACAAUUCUAAAAAUAUUUUAAAAUGCUGAAUGUAUGGACAGAGAGAAAUGCAUAAACAGAUAUCAAAAAUCUUUUCUAACAAUAUUUCUACUCUAUGGACCAAUGGUUCUGUAAUUUACACCUUCAGACAUUACAUAAAUAUUGAAUCCAUAAACAUGCUCCAGGUGAAAGAGCUAACCUGACAAUUACCAUCUCCUUGAA
rnacentral:misc_RNA from 1 species